GCUGGGCACGGUGGGGCAUGCCUGUCAUCCCAGUGGCUUGGGAGGCUGAGGCAGGAGGAUCGCAAGUUCAAAGCCAGCCUCAGCAAAAGUGAGGACCUAAGCAACUCAGUGAGACCCUGUCUCUA
rnacentral:sRNA from 1 species